CCGCUCCUCGGGCAGGCAAAGGGGAACGGGGCUCGGUGUGAGCGGGGGAACAGGUAGCGGUGUGGGGAAGGUAUGUGCACUCGCGAAUUGAAGAUGGAGGUACAGAGAUAAAGAGUAUUGCACCCUUAGUCAGUCGAAAAAUAUCCCCGUUCCCUUCACUGAAAUGACUGUGUUGUCGUUUGAGGAGAUACCCCCAAUUUUUGUAUGCUCUUUCCAGGAGAUAACUCCAAUUUCUUUAUAAUCUUUCCAAGAGAUAACCCCAAUUUCUGUAUUUUGGGAAGUAGUGAACAAUUGCCCCUCUGAAUGAUCCCUUCUACACAGUAUUCACAAUUUUCUUAUAUAUUGGUUACAUGCUUCUCCCUCUGUCCUGUCUUUCCCAGAGUCAAGAUUCCAGAUCUGGUUUAUUCUGCUUUCAUGCAGGACAUUCCUUUUCACCCUGCUCAAUCAUUUCUGUUUAAAGUCUUUCAACUGUGCAGCCAGAGCCACAAGUGAUAGGAAAGAACCACUCAGCAGAAUAAAGAUAUUUUCCGUUUUGAUCUCAACCCCUUUUCUGGGGAUUCCUGACAUGCCUUUCUGAUCGGGGCUGAAGGCUGGGCUCCCUCUCUUGAAUCACAAAUACCUGAUCUUGAGCCUAGCCUGGCUGUUGUGCCUCCUCUGUGGCACUUUCAAAUAGUAAAUCUAAUGUUUUACACCUGAACAGCUCAGCACAGGACCUCCUCACCAUCCUCAACCCGCUCUCCUUGUGCUCACCAACUCCAUCAGAAAUGUCCUCUUGGACUUCAGGAGCAUGACUGCUCCCAAAAAGAUGUCUUGGCUCUUGGCCACUGUACACAUACAUCUGGCUGAGGUUUAUACUACAGCCCAAAGCAAAUUUUAUUCUGUCUCAGCUAGAUUUCUGUAGGAGGCAGCUCCUUGGGUCAGUUUUGGAGGCUUUCUGACAAGAUUGGCAUCAGGUUUGCAACAUUUCCUUCCUUAAAUGCAAGGUUGGAUUUUCUUGAAAUGUAUUUUGUCUACAUGUUCUGAUAACUAUAGAAAGUGUUGGUAGCUCAUGAGCAAGAAAUUCUGAAUGCCAAAGUACUGGCUGAAAAUAUAAAUAUUUAAUUUUUUUCCUUAAAAGAUUGGUAUUUCCAUUGCUAAAUUAUAUAUUCCACAAAAAGUCCUUAAAACAAUGUUCCCUUAUGUGCUUGCACAUACACACAGGAAACCUUACCACCGAGUUGGCUGAAGGGGGCUUUUGUCUAGAAAUUGCUUAUAGAAAUUUAAUAUUGUCUGCAUGGUUAUCAGCUCAGAUAAUCUACACCUGAAACUUUAGAUUUUUCAAUGCAUAUAACAAUGCUCAUUCUUCCUGAGGAAGGUUUUCCUGAAGCACCAGGUCUCUAAUGAAUUUUGAGGGAGACUGUGGUCCUGGAUAAAUGUUGGAGAGAACAUGUGUGCACAAGCACUGUGGAAACUUGUCAGUUAUUUGUUUUCUUACACUUGCUUUCUUCUUUUUAGAAGAAAUAUUAUUCCACACAUACACUAACACAGAAAAAGGGUUUUGUCCUCAUUUUUCAUGCACGUUUUCUUGCAUGACCAGAAGAAAAGCUGACUGAAUGAGGUAAUUAUUCAGAUAGCACAUUAAUCAUUAAUCAUAUGAAUUCCCUUUAACUGGGAGUAGCACAUUUCCAUGACAAAUUCAGAACAUCUGCUAACUCAGGCAGAACACUGGACAUGGUCUUUGUGCAACACUGAACCUGGAGCUGAAACCACGUGUUAUGGAGAGUUUAAAGAGCUCCUGGCCUAGAGGAGGGAGGCAGGGGCAGGCUGAAGGGAGAUGCCCUUGCAGCUGUCCCUGUGGACACCCCCAGGGGUGCAGGAUGCUCGAGGCUCCUGCUGACAGCAGUGCCCACAAAGCUGGGGGUGAUCCCAGGGUAGGCAGGGACCUGCGUGCAAGCCAGGACAGUCAGUGUUUGCUCAGCCCCGCAGUGCCCUGCUCCUCUGUGCUUUGGCAGGGGGUGUUUGUCCCUGAAGCACAGUGGCUGCCACUCAGAGAGGUUAUCCUCAGUGCCAGCUGUGGACUGGGAGCAGGUGAGUCACUCCCAGCCAGGCUGAGGCACCUCUCUGCUUAUGCACAGCUGAGCCUGUGCUGCAGCUCCUUCUGCUGCUUUGAGCAGCCUGGCCUUGUGGAAGGUGUCCCUGGAACUUUUAAUGUUUUAAUGUCCCAUCCAACCCAAACUGUUCUAGGAUUCUAUGAUUCUGUGAUUUUUACCAAACUGGACUGAGCUGGGACCCCAAGCAAAGCUGCUUUUGGGCAGUGGUACUGGCAAGGGCAUCUUUGCUCUCAGGAGUACUUUCCAGCACGCUGCCACAUCCAAAAGCUUGGGGCUCUUAUCUCCGCCUGCUGCUGUCAAAUACAGUUCUGUUUGUGGAGAGCUGUGCACACACCUCCAUCUCCCAGCUGGCAAGGCAUCUCCUUUUACUGGUGACAGGCAGCAGUGACAUAUGGAGAGCUGGGAAGGGACCCAUCCUUUCUGCUGCUCUGAGUCCCAGCCUGGCUUGUAGCCACUCACAAGUGCUGGUCAGAGGGAGAUAAGUGUGGUUUCGAUUAGGGAUGAGGAAUUCUCUUCCCCCUGCCAAGAGGGAAGCAGGGAGAUUGUGUCAUCCUGAACACUCUGGAUUCUGUCCCCUUCUCAACUACAAACCUUUUUUUUUCUUUCUUUUCACAGAGCACCACUCUCUUUUGACCAGUUUACAUAGUUUCCACAGCAGGUUUAUAAUGCUUCCAAUAAAAAGGAAGGAAUUUCCCACUGUCUUACCUGGAGUGUAUUUAUUCUUGGAGAGCAUUGCAGUGAAGGAACUGGGACAGACUCAGGAACUUAUGGUAGAUUCACGCUUAACUGCUCUGGGAAUUAAAGAAUCAAACUCAGCAGAGACAGAGUAUGUUAGAGAUAGAAAGGAGUUAUUAAUUCCAUAUCCAUCUGUAAAUAAUUUCUGGGCUAGGAUGCAUUUCACUGUAAGUUCGCUUUCAAAUUCUCUUUACAUAUUCCUUUUAAAUUCUUUUAAAAUAUUAACCUGUUAGUAACAAAUAAUGGCUUAAGCUCAGCCCUGCUGGACAAGGUACAAGUGAAAUUAAACCUCACUUCUGCAACCAGAGUCACUGGUACCACAUUCCAAUGCUCGGUGUCUCUUUGAGGGGCUGAGUCACACAAGCAGAGCCCAGUAAAUUAAAAAAGCAAUGUACAAAUAGUCUGAAGCAAUGUGUAAGUGACGGUAGGAGGACAACUUCAUGGCUAGAGCAACCAGACAGACCCAGGCUGUGGGAAGACAUGUCAGGGGGCACAUAGCAGAAAUAGUUUUUCCCUCCAGGAGCUACCAAACAAGCCUGUUUCUGUAGGCAGCAAAACAUGAGUGCUUGCUCUGCAGGAAUGUGCAUGGCAGAUGAAUUAGAGACCAGAAACAAACACACCAGAAACAGACAUGGAGGGCCCCACUGUGAGCAGCUGAAAAGCUCUUCUCUUCCCUUCCUUGUCCAGGACCUGGGGAGGGUUUGCUAGAGGAGAAGCACUCCAGGAAGAGCUAGGCAGUGAAGGGAAUCCUCUGGUCUUUUCAUUAUCUGUAUCUAUAUCAUCCAUAUCAUAUAAUCAUAUCAUAUCAUAUCAUAUCAUAUCAUACCAUCAUAUAAUACAAUAUAAUCUCUCUAUCUAUUUACUUUUAUUUAUUUAGGGAACUCUUCUGACAAAUGCCUGAAGUAGCUGCUAUCCCAUGAGAAGAUCUCUCUCCAGACCUACAGGCAAGACCCAGCUGAUGCAGUUCCAUGGUGCUGCACAGAGCUGGGACCGACUGCCCUCAGCCUCCAGCAGCAGGCAUCUAACAUAUCUGACAUAUCUGACAUAUCUAACAUAUCUAACACAUCCCCCCAGAUCCCAGCCUGGCUGAGCACCAGCCAGCAGUCAGGGCAGACAUUCCAUGAGCAGCUCUCAAACUCCAUCCAAGACCUUUCCUGGAGAGAGAUGAGCAGCCCUGUCCACUGCACCGAGCUCUUCCUCUGCCACAAUUCCUGGAGAGCAGGAGAAGCAGCAGUGUCUGGAGCUGGGUGAGCUGCAGCCACGCUCCCACCCAGGCAAGGCUGACUGUCCCACAAGCUCAGGAGGUUUUGGCUGAGAUGAGCCAGCUCAGCAGGACAUGCUUGAAGCUGAGAGCAGAGCAAUGCUGUAAAAGCCAGCUGCAGUAUGGCAGCAAAGGUGUUCUUCUCUGUCUUGGCAUGAGGACUCAUUGCUCCCAUUGCCUGGUUCAUUUUCCACACAGCAGCUAUUGGUAAGACCUGGAAAGAGCAGGAGGUUUCCCUGGCAGAGGUAGCUGUGCAGGUGAUAUGUGGUUGUACUGCUGAUGAGUCUGAGUGGAGCAUUUGCCCAAAGCCAUGACCAAGCUGCUGAGUUUUGACGGUUCCAUCAUCAGCUCAUGGCACCCAGCUCAGCCCCACCAUGCUUCAUGGUCAUGUCACAGAAUGGUUUGGGUUGGAAGGGACCUUAGGGAUUCUCUCAUUCCACCCUCUUGUCAUGGGCAGGACACCUUCCACUAGAUCAGUGUGCUCAGGGCUCCAUCCAAACUGGCCUUGAACACUCCCAAGGAUGGGGCAUCCAACAUUCUCUGGGCAAUCUGUUGCAACCUCACAGUAAAGAAUGAGAAGGUGUUGGGAAAAGGGAGAAGGUGUUGGCCAGGAGGAAUCUUUUCAACACUUGAGACAGGAUUUAUUCCUUUGAGCUUGACAUUUUCCUUCUCAGUUCUCUGCCUGGGCAGCCCCCUUGGGCAUCCGAAGUGAGCUGUGGCUUGUCAUCCAGUGAGAACCUGAGAUCAGGUGUACACAGUCCCACUGCAGACAUCCACAUUUAGGUAAAAUAACCCCCCACUCUUGUGUUCCAGUCUUGUGUAAAGCCAGACACCAGGGAGAGCCUCUUCAGCUUGUGGAAGCUGGAUGUCUAACUCUCUAGAAACAUAAAUGGCAAACUGCACCGUGGCUUUUGUAAAUCACCUUGAAAAUCUCAGUCAUUGUGAGUAAUUAAAAUAUUCAGUUCUAAAAUUAAAUUUAAAUGGUAUAA